rnacentral:rRNA from 1 species
GACGAACGCUGGCGGCGUGCUUAACACAUGCAAGUCGAACGGAAAGGCCCUGCUUUUGUGGGGUGCUCGAGUGACGAACGGGUGAGUAACACGUGAGUAACCUGCCCUUGACUUUGGGAUAACUUCAGGAAACUGGGGCUAAUACCGGAUAGGAGCUCCUGCUGCAUGGUGGGGGUUGGAAAGUUUCGGCGGUUGGGGAUGGACUCGCGGCUUAUCAGCUUGUUGGUGGGGUAGUGGCUUACCAAGGCUUUGACGGGUAGCCGGCCUGAGAGGGUGACCGGCCACAUUGGGACUGAGAUACGGCCCAGACUCCUACGGGAGGCAGCAGUGGGGAAUAUUGCACAAUGGGCGGAAGCCUGAUGCAGCAACGCCGCGUGCGGGACGACGGCCUUCGGGUUGUAAACCGCUUUCGCCUGUGACGAAGCGUGAGUGACGGUAAUGGGUAAAGAAGCACCGGCUAACUACGUG